UACGUAGGGUGCGAGCGUUGUCCGGAAUUAUUGGGCGUAAAGGGCUCGUAGGCGGUUUGUCGCGUCGGGAGUGAAAACACUGGGCUUAACUCAGUGCUUGCUUCCGAUACGGGCAGACUAGAGGUAUGCAGGGGAGAACGGAAUUCCUGGUGUAGCGGUGAAAUGCGCAGAUAUCAGGAGGAACACCGGUGGCGAGGGCGGUUCUCUGGGCAUUACCUGACGCUGAGGAGCGAAAGUGUGGGGAGCGAACAGG
rnacentral:rRNA from 1 species